GACAGAGGGUGCAAACGUUGUUCGGAAUUACUGGGCGUAAAGCGCGUGUAGGCGGCCAUGCAAGUCGGAUGUGAAAGCCCUCGGCUCAACCGGGAAAGUGCACUCGAAACUGCAAGGCUAGAGUCUCGGAGAGGAUCGUGGAAUUCUCGGUGUAGAGGUGAAAUUCGUAGAUAUCGAGAGGAACACCGGUGGCGAAGGCGGCGAUCUGGACGAUGACUGACGCUGAGACGCGAAAGCGUGGGGAGCAAACAGG
rnacentral:rRNA from 1 species